UACGUAGGGGGCUAGCGUUGUCCGGAAUCAUUGGGCGUAAAGCGCGCGUAGGCGGCCCGGUAAGUCCGCUGUAAAAGUCAAAGGCUCAACCUUUGAAUGUCAGUGGAUACUGCCGGGCUAGAGUCCGGAAGAGGCGAGUGGAACUCCUGGUGUAGCGGUGGAAUGCGCAGAUAUCGGGAGGAACACCGAUGGCGAAGGCAGGUCUCCGGGCCAUAACUGACGCUGAGAAGCGAAAGCAUGGGGAGCGAACAGG
rnacentral:rRNA from 1 species